UGCCAGCCGCCGCGGUAAUACGGAGGGUGCGAGCGUUAAUCGGAAUUACUGGGCGUAAAGCGCACGCAGGCGGUUUGUUAAGCUAGAUGUGAAAGCCCCGGGCUUAACCUGGGAAUGGCAUUCGAUACUGCAGAGCUAGAGUAUGGUAGAGGGAAGUGGAAUUCCGGGUGUAGCGGUGAAAUGCGUAGAUAUCCGGAGGAACACCAGUGGCGAAGGCGACUUCCUGGGCCAAUACUGACGCUGAGGUGCGAAAGCGUGGGGAGCAAACAGGAUUAGAUA
rnacentral:rRNA from 1 species